AAUCAACGCUGGCGGCGUGCCUAACACAUGCAAGUCGAACGCGAAAACCCCGCAAGGGGUUAGUAGAGUGGCAAACGGGUGAGUAACACGUGGGUGACCUGCCUUCGAGUGGGGGAUAACGUCCCGAAAGGGACGCUAAUACCGCAUGACAUCCUGCUUUUGGAAAAGCGGAGAUCAAAGCUGGGGAUUCGCAAGAACCUGGCGCUUGAAGAGGGGCCCGCGCCUGAUUAGCUAGUUGGUAGGGAACGGCCUACCAAGGCGACGAUCAGUAUCCGGCCUGAGAGGGCGGACGGACACACUGGGACUGAGACACGGCCCAGACUCCUACGGGAGGCAGCAGUGGGGAAUUGUUCGCAAUGGGCGAAAGCCUGACGACGCAACGCCGCGUGGAGGACGAAGAUCUUCGGGUCGUAAACUCCUGUCGGAGGU
rnacentral:rRNA from 1 species